UGCAGUCGUACGAGAAAGCCUGGAGCUUGCUUUGGGCGAGUAAAGUGGCGCACGGGUGAGUAACGCGUGGGUAAUCUACCUUCGAGUUUGGGAUAACCCUUCGAAAGGGGGGCUAAUACCGGAUGAUAUCUUAUUGACUAUGGUUGAUAAGAUGAAAGAUGGCCGCUCCAUGGAAGCUGUUGUUUGGAGAUGAGCCCGCGUACCAUUAGCUGGUUGGUGGGGUAACGGCCCACCAAGGCGAUGAUGGUUAGCUGGUCUGAGAGGAUGAUCAGCCACACUGGAACUGGAACACGGUCCAGACUCCUACGGGAGGCAGCAGUGAGGAAUUUUGCGCAAUGGGGGAAACCCUGACGCAGCAACGCCGCGUGAGUGAUGAAGGCUUUCGGGUC
rnacentral:rRNA from 1 species